GCCGGGCGCGGUGGUGGGCGCCUGUAGUCCCAGCUACUCGGGAGGCUGAGGCAGGAGAAUGGCAUGAACCCAGGAGGUGGAGCGUGCAGUGAGCUGAGAUCGCGCCACUGCACUCCAGCCUGGGCAACAGUGCAAGAUUCCGUCUCAA
ensembl:misc_RNA Metazoa_SRP Metazoan signal recognition particle RNA